rnacentral:tRNA from 1 species
CCCUCGAUAGCUCAGUUGGCAGAGCAGAGGACUGUAGAUGUUACAACGGUGAUCCUUAGGUCGCUGGUUCAAAUCCGGCUCGAGGGC